GACGAACGCUGGCGGCGUGCCUAAUACAUGCAAGUUGAGCGCUGAAGGUUGGUACUUGUACCAACUGGAUGAGCAGCGAACGGGUGAGUAACGCGUGGGGAAUCUGCCUUUGAGCGGGGGACAACAUUUGGAAACGAAUGCUAAUACCGCAUAAAAACUUUAAACACAAGUUUUAAGUUUGAAAGAUGCAAUUGCAUCACUCAAAGAUGAUCCCGCGUUGUAUUAGCUAGUUGGUGAGGUAAAGGCUCACCAAGGCGAUGAUACAUAGCCGACCUGAGAGGGUGAUCGGCCACAUUGGGACUGAGACACGGCCCAAACUCCUACGGGAGGCAGCAGUAGGGAAUCUUCGGCAAUGGACGAAAGUCUGACCGAGCAACGCCGCGUGAGUGAAGAAGGUUUCCGGAUCGUAAAACUCGGUUGGUAGAGAAGAACGUUGGUGAGAGUGGAAAGCUCAUCAAGUGACGGUAACUACCCAGAAAGGGACGGCUAACUACGUG
rnacentral:rRNA from 1 species